rnacentral:lncRNA from 1 species
GGGCUUGCUGUUUUUUUUUUUGGUUUAAUUUAGUUUGUUGGGUUGGGGCAAAUUUGGGCUUUGUACAGCUGCCCCUCUUUGCUCGUUGUCAUGUAACGAGAAUAGAGCAAAGACUAAGAAAGACCAAAUUUGCCCGGUCUUACCGAGUCUUGACUUCUCUUGACGCUUCUCUUCUUCAAGUAACUUCAUUUCAGUCCAUUGUGUCUUGUUGCGUCGAUCCACACCGCUGCAACUUCG